rnacentral:rRNA from 1 species
UCUCUCUUCCGCUCUAUCUAAUCCACCAUCAGACUGAGGCGUGCGAAGAGGGGAGGGGGAGAGAGGAGAGGAGAGGGAGAGGGGUGGGGGGGUUUAGCUUUAGGGGGUGGGUAUGACUCGGUCACUCGAGGUGCGAGGAGGGGGUCGAGCGGGGCCGUAGGGCAGCGGCCCACCUAGAUGGUCCUGCGCCCGCGCGCACGCGCCGAACUCCUCGUUUCCACGGACUACUCCAUCAACCCCCGUCGGUUCCUUCGUUUCCAAGAACGAAAGGUGGCCCACUUGAAUGAUGGAGCAAUGUAAGUGGUCUAGCUACGAUAGGUCACUGGUGGGAAGUCCGGGGAGCACGAGGAGGGUCAGACACCAAGCCCAACACCCACGACUAGGUCGCUGCAAGGUGCGGCGGCUGAGAGGCCUCAGCCGUGUGGUUCUAGGACGCCUAGAACAGGUUGGCACAGGGUGGAAGAGGUAUUCUCUAAUACAAAAACUAAGCUCCUCGUUUCCGUAGUUCUCUUCAACCGGAAAGGUGGGCGUCAGUGACCUUGAAACGAACUUCGCACCUCAAUUUCUAGAUGACGGAGGUAAGCUCGGAGGGCUAAACGAGGCCAGUUCCAGAAAGAUAUGAACGCAUCUGAGACUCGUCAGACGACGUACGGAUCUUCGGCUACGAAAACAACUAAACCAUUUCCGAUCUCUUCGACCAAACUGUUUACACUUAUGUUGACCAUAGUUGGAGGUCAGUACAGUUAGUCGUCUACUCAGUGAACCAGGUAGAGUUAUGUGAGGAUGUCUCCCACCCUUCUGACGAUGACUGGUUCCACCUUUAUAUUUACUUAAUCCGGUAUGAUCAUUCCGAUAUGUUCGUAUAGUCCUUCUAUUAUAAACGUGGUUUCGUUCAAGCCCCUGUCUCCAACGAGCUGGGAUAAACUUUUCAGAACCGAGUAGUGCACUCUGAAGUCUUUUCUUCCCGUUCAACGAUCAGUUCAGUCCGAGAUACUGUCUAUAGGCAGUCUCUUUUCUAAAUAGUAUGUUGAGAUCGAGCCAAAGCUUAGGUUUCCGAAGUUUAUGGACAGGACAAACGUUUCAGAAGAGAAGAGGUAGUUUAUGGUGAAACUUACGUGUGUAUCUAGUCACGGAAAUACGACACAGAUUACGGCUCGGUCAUCAUCUCUGCCAAUAACACUUCGGUUUUCACUUCGUCUCCUUCUACGUUGACUACCACCUGUAAAUGUUCUGUCGGGAAGGUAUGUGAGAACUACUGGAACUAGCCUCCUUGCCCUGAUUGACCCGAUAGCUAAACAGACACGGUCGACACUUGUUCCACGAAACGUGAUUCUUGGCAUCGGGUGCUCACCAUGGUAGACUUCGUUUUCUAUCACUUUCUCUAUCACUACAGAUACAACUAAGUUUACCGUAUUUUUAGUCUUAAAAUAGGUUCGGAUAGCCACGUGGGAACCAGAACCCGUUACUACCAAAUUUCGUUCAACUUUUCGUGGUCUGACCUUUCUCAUGUAACUACUUUUUCUGUAGGAACCUUAGAUUUAGUAAAUCCUUAUUUUUCAAGUUCCAUGUACCUUUCUUCACGUUGGCUGAUUUGGUAAACUUUAGAGUCCAACUUAAUAUGGGUCUACCCCUAUAGGUACGACUGUGGAGACUCCUCCUCGACCGGUACGUAUGUGUCUUUGGAUGACUUUCGUCGUCAACACCAGCAAGCCCUUGAUAUUCCGUUACCCACACGAGGUUUGCAAGCCCAUAGUGAUUGUUAAACUCGUCUUUCAGUUUAUUAUAUAACAGUCUAUCGUACUUUGGACCUUGUUUCUUUAACCGAUCCUCGGCGUACUAACCACCGAAACUACUAGGAGUUUAAUGUCCUUCAAUAUGACUCCGUAAAAGAAGUGCCAGUUGUCUUCUCUGUCGGUGGUGAAACCUUCAGUUACUUUUACUACUAGUACUUUUCCCAAGAAGUUCUAAUAAGUCUAGUUAAGGGUCUACCAGUAGUCUUUUAGGAAGUAGGUCGUCACGGAAGGGUUUUCAUGGAUCUAGUCGACGAUGAGAACGCUUCUCUUUUUAAUUCCUCUAACCUUCUUCUCUUCGAAGAUCCAGACUAUUCAUACUAUGUCACUCCUUAAGGUGGAGCUGUUUUACGAGACUUGGAACAGAAAGACAAAGGUAAUCUCCAGACUCAUUACUGAGUUUCUCCUGUCACAGAUGAAGAUUCCACAAUUCUUUCGUGUCUAGACAUAGCUCCUGAGCGUUCGCACUGAAAAGUGGAAGAUAAUCACCCGAUCAGUUACUAAAACCAGUUCUCGUACUUGAACUAGUGUCUGUACAUUUGUUAUGGAAGUCGCAAUGAUUAUUACCGUGUAGGCUAUUCCAACAUUUCGUAUGGGUUCUUCUAUGGUGUCUAUUACUAUAGAGAAUACCUUGACUGUACGGCCGUAACCCCGUUCCCCUAGUAGUCGUACUACACUGUGUUGUUUGUUGUUCAUGCGUAUACCUAAGACUUCCACUUCUUGUACGUUGAGUUUACGUUACAUGGAGCCAGAGGUCUUUAUGAGUGCUCCUGACAACGUCACGUUAUUCAUCACCAAGAAACUCAGAACUUUUAUCGUUUUGACACGGGUUUCCUUCAAGUAGUUACGUCCUAGUUACGAGGUGAUUCGUUAGGUGUGUAGUAUGAGUACACAGUUUGUAACAAUGGUUAUUACUCUACCUCCUUACAGUCCAUCUGGGUCGAAGUUGAUUCCUUAGAUCGUGGACGAAUUGAUUAUUGUCCCUUUACCCAGAACGUUGAGGAGCCCUAUUGAGCAGUUAUUGCAGCUUGUCUCUUCUGAGAUUGGUUCUAGUACAAAAAAACCGUAAACCAGCCCUGAGUAGUCUGAGAGGAUAAAGCCAACGGAGUUGAUACAGAAGAGGUCAACGAAACUUACCAAGUUCUUUACUUCUCAGUCCUGGUCCGGUUAGCUGGCAUUUACAAUCCUGUGAACUUUUCUCGUACAGACCCUCGAGUUUAGUCCUCUGCUUCAGCUACGGAGGUCGUUCUCUUCCACUGGUCAACCGAUUCCUCUUCAACAUAACGACGAGAACAGCACUCUCGUAGAGGUCCCUCGGAGUGAAUCUGGUACUUUCAAGUUGUCGGUCUAGUCUGUGAAAACGAUCUUUUGUUCAAGGUGUUAACGUGUACCCAAAUGCCUGUAGUAGUAGAAAGUCGUGUAUGGUUUCUUGUCUGUGUUUAAGUUUGGGAAUGAAUCUAAGUGUACCAGUCGAUAAUUGACCGUUUCAAUAUUGACUUAGAAGGUACUCGAGGGACAGAAUACGCUGUCUAACAUAGUCUGGUCGUAACGUUUGAGUUGAAGGUAGCGGCGGUUCAGGAUACAACUCUGACUACCCGUUCUUGAACUACCACUACUUGUCGGUCCUCUCACCCGCAGGAGUUCGAGGUUUCGGUCUGAUGUACGACCCUCCCUUAAUGUACGGUGGACGAUCAAAACACGGAGGUCUGAUGGUUGUAUCAGUAAGACGUAACUAGCUGUCUUGAGGUAGUCGUUCCUCAGUGGUCUAAGGAGAAGGUUCACAAGUUCGAUCGUUGAAACAACCCGGAGGUUACGUACCACCAAAGUACCACGUUAGAUUAGUAGUAAGAGACGUCUUUGGUAUGUCCUUGGGACGAGGUCAGUACGUAGUGGGAUGGAUGUACUACUUUCUCCAAUAGUACUAAUUACUGCUAGGAGGACUUACGUCUUCACUCGGUGUUCAGUCAUACGUAGGAGGGUGACCUUGGAUAGGUUGUAGUUAGAGGCAGGGUUUGUUAAAACCCGGGUCCGGUAAAAUGACGGUAGGUGGCGGCUACGUUUAAAACGGUUCCCUCUUAAAACGACCUAGUUACGGACAAAAGGGUUACAAACCACGAGUUUCCGUCGUUCAGUCUAUAUCGGUUAGGAAUGUAGAGUGGGGCAGAGCGCAGGUCGGAGGUGUUCCAAUGUAUUUGGGUGUACAAAUGAUAGGCGUCCUAAAUGCCACUGAUGAGUCAUUGGGUUUACUGGUUCUCUUGAACUUUUACUCUAAACACUACCCAGAUUUUAUGACCCUAGUCACUACUUGGGCAGAAUUCUACGGACUGAGAGUUGUCCUAAAAAAAAAGGUGUAUCUAAACGAAAGAAAUCAACAGAAAAGUCCCUAACGAUAGACUUUGAACCCUCGACAAACCGUUAGGUGGUCGAGGGGUCGUAAUUCCUAGACACCUCAUGGAUAAACGAGUGAGGUGCCAAAACUUAACGUCGAGGUGGACGAAGCCCUCACCUCACCACCUCGCCUCCCUGAGACUUCCAUUUUAUCCCAGAUCGUAUAAUAUGUACAUGUGCAUAAACAUAUGCAUACAUUAACAUAAUACUAGUAGAUAUAUUUCUCUGCACUCCGACCUACAAUUGGUGGGUGCGUUUU